ensembl:lncRNA RPL23AP7 ribosomal protein L23a pseudogene 7
GGCUGUGGGUGUGGUACCGAGGCUUCAGCGGGUGCCGCCCGCCUAGAGGGAGUGGAGCGGUGAGCACGUCAGGGGUGGGGGGCGCAGGUCAAGCUUUCACCAGUUUUUAAUUCUUUGAUGGGGUAAAUUUGAGCAAUUUUCUCGACUUGUCGACAUUCGUUAUUAACUGAGCAGGAAUCAGGAGAGGAACCCGGUCCUCUCCACACAGCCCAGCAGGUACGCCGCCCAUGUGCCUGUGGAGAAGAGAGGUUCCUGUGGGGCAGACAGAGAGCCUACGACUAGAUUUGCAUCUUUACGUCCUGCGCGGAGGCUGCUACACACAUGCAGAAGUCAUGCUGGUGGCCUGGACAGUGAAGGGAGAGAAGUGGAUUUGGGAGACAUUUAGGAGCAGAAGAAUCCCAGACUUCUUAGAGAACCCAGUGACUUUUUGCACCUUAAAUCUGUGAAAUCCUCAUGUUUUCUUCUGCCGUAUCCAUAGUUCAAACAAAGAUGAGGCAAAGCUAGAUGCAUUCCUGAAGGAACCCAAGAAAUUCCUCUCUUUAUUUCUCUGGAAUGAAAUGAAUUCUCUAGACCACCAGUUCUAACCUUCAAAAACCAAACCUGUUUGUGAGAUCUCCUUCAAAUACUACUGUAGACCCCAGUGUUUAUUCAUUAAAUUUUUAAAAUAUUUGUUUUAUUUGGAAUCCAUGUAUUUGUAAUUUUAGUGUUUGUAUUAAUAUAAGGGAGAAAUGUUUAAAUCUGUCUAUGCCAUAUGUGCCUCUGGCUUAUUGCCCAAUUAAUUGUAGACUCAGGCUAAACUUUGGUUUCUGUCUUUAAUUUUUGUCAGAAGAAAUAUAACUGAUCUCAAAA